AUUGAACGCUGGCGGCAGGCCUAACACAUGCAAGUCGAACGAGUGGCGGACGGGUGAGUAAUGUCUGGGAAACUGCCUGAUGGAGGGUGAUAACUACUGGAAACGGUAGCUAAUACCGCAUACCAUCCGAUGUUCCCAGAUGGGAUUAGCUUGUUGGUGGGGUAAAGGCUCACCAAGGCGACGAUCCCUAGCUGGUCUGAGAGGAAGACCAGCCACGCAGCAACUGAGACACGGUCCAGACUCCUACAGGAGGGAGCAGUGGGGAAAAUGGCACAAUGAGAGCAAGCCGGAUGCAGCCAUGCCGCGUGUAUGAAGAAGGCCUUCGGGUUGUAAAGUACUUUCAGCGGGGAGGCGUUACCCGCAGAAGAAGCACCGGCUAACUCCGUGCCAGCAGCCGCGGUAAUUC
rnacentral:rRNA from 1 species